rnacentral:rRNA from 1 species
GGGGAAUAUUGGGCAAUGGGGGAAACCCUGACCCAGCAACGCCGCGUGAGGGAAGAAGGCUUUCGGGUCGUAAACCUCUGUCCCAUGGGAAGAGCAGAAGACGGUACCAUGGGAGGAAGCCCCGGCUAACUACGUGCCAGCAGCCGCGGUAAUACGUAGGGGGCGAGCGUUGUCCGGAAUGACUGGGCGUAAAGGGCGCGUAGGUGGCCUUACAAGUCUGGAGUGAAAGUCCCGUUUUUAAGGUGGGAAUGGCUUUGGAAACUGUAAGGCUUGAGUGUGGGAGAGGAUAGCGGAAUUCCCGGUGUAGCGGUGAAAUGCGUAGAGAUCGGGAGGAACACCAGUGGCGAAGGCGGCUAUCUGGACCAAGACUGACACUGAAGCGCGAAAGCGUGGGUAGCAAAC